UACGUAGGCAGCGAGCGUUGUUCGGAAUUACUGGGCGUAAAGAGUGUGUAGGCGGUGCUCUAAGUUCGGUGUGAAAUCUCCUGGCUUAACUGGGAGGGUGCGCCGGAAACUGGAGUGCUCGAGCGUGGGAGAGGAAAAGCGGAAUUCCUGGUGUAGCGGUGAAAUGGCGUAGAUAUCAGGAGGAACACCUGUGGUGUAGACGGCUUUCUGGACCAUUGCUGACGCUGAGACACGAAAGCGUGGGUAGCAAACAGG
rnacentral:rRNA from 1 species